UACGGAGGGUGCAAGCGUUAUCCGGAUUCACUGGGUUUAAAGGGUGCGUAGGUGGUCGGGUAAGUCUGAUGUGAAAUCUCUGAGCUCAACUCAGAAACUGCAUUGGAUACUAUUCGGCUAGAGGAGUGGAGGGGGGACUGGAAUACUUGGUGUAGCAGUGAAAUGCGUAGAUAUCAAGUGGAACACCAGUGGCGAAGGCGAGUCCCUAGACACUUCCUGACACUGAGGCACGAAAGCUAGGGGAGCAAACAGG
rnacentral:rRNA from 1 species